rnacentral:piRNA from 1 species
UCUAACUUCUCUGUUCCCUCCCUUUCAGGAU